UUUUUUUUUUUUUUUUGUUUGUUGUUUUUUUUAUUUCUCUUUUUCCUUCUGCUUAUUUUUCUUCUGUUCACCUGAGAUGGACGCAGAGAUUGCAGCUGCUGGCUUUCCCCUCCAGCUCGGUGUGUGCUGAGGGCAUCUGCUUUUCCGCAGUGCCAGCCUGUUUUCUCCAUAAAGCUCUCCUGGAAGAGGAGCAGAGGUUGACACAGGUCCAUGUCCCCCAGCCAGCUGCAUUUAGCCAGGCGGUUUCCUGUCCCGACCGGCAGCUUUCCCGUAUUUACUCCUGUUGCAAGGCACAGGAACCAGCAUUGUCCUGAUUUAUUCUGCAGGGUUUUACUUGCUUGUGAACUGUGCCUCAGUAGCAGAAAUCGAUUGAGCUUUAUCUCCUCCUCCUUAACAUCAUUAAAAUACAUUUGCGUGAAAAAAUAAUAGUAGCUGGCUUAAAAAAAUGUUGGUUUUAUUGGGGGAAAAGUGCCAAGGUUAUAUUGUAUGUCCAUAAACGGAAUUGCUUUUGUUUCAAACACAGUAAAAUAAAACAUGAUCUUUCCAUGAGUGAAAUAAUCAUGCCAGCUAUUUAUGUUUGUUUUAUCAUGCAGAAUAUUAAGUGUGUUAGACUUCAAAUGGCCCAGCUGAAAAAUUUGCAUUAGUGGGUGGACCAGAGCAGUAAAAGUAUAAAAAGAGAAAAUAAUGAAAAGUAAAAAAAAAAAAAAAGAAAAAAAAAAGAGAGCGAGAGAAAGAAGAACGUUUGAAGAAAGAGUUGCAGAUGUUUUUACAGGAAUGACAUUAAAGAGAAAAUCUGCUUGGAGACAUACAGGGAGAGCUGAGGAAUUCUGCAGAGAGGAGAGGUUAGAAACUA